rnacentral:rRNA from 1 species
GAUGAACGCUAGCGGCAGGCUUAAUACAUGCAAGUCGUGGGGCAGCAUGAGUAGCAAUACUUGAUGGCGACCGGCAAACGGGUGCGGAACACGUACACAACCUUCCGAUAAGUGGGGAAUAGCCCAGAGAAAUUUGGAUUAAUACCCCGUAACAUAUAGAGUAGGCAUCUUCUUUAUAUUAUAGCUUCGGCGCUUAUUGAUGGGUGUGCGUCUGAUUCGGUAGUUGGCGGGGUAACGGCCCACCAAGCCUACGAUCAGUAGCUGAUGUGAGAGCAGGAGCAGCAACACGGGCACUAAGACACGGGCCCGACGCCUACGGGAGGCAGCAGUAAGGAAUAUUGGACAAUGGGCGAAAGCCUGAUCCAGCCGUGCCGCGUGAAGGAUUAAGGUCCUCUGGAUUGUAAACUUCUUUUAUUUGGGACGAAAAAAGGGAAUUCUUUCCCACUUGACGGUACCAAGUGAAUAAGCACCGGCUAACUCCGUGCCAGCAGCCGCAGUAACAC